UGAGGAAUAUUGCGCAAUGGGGGAAACCCUGACGCAGCAACGCCGCGUGAGUGAGGAAGGUUUUCGGACCGUAAAGCUCUGUCGAGCGGAAAGAAAUGCAUGAUGGCUAAUAUCCGUCAUGCUUGACGGUACCGCUAAAGGAAGCACCGGCUAACUCCGUGCCAGCAGCCGCGGUAAUACGGGGGGUGCAAGCGUUGUUCGGAAUCAUUGGGCGUAAAGAGCGUGUAGGCGGCUGGAUAAGUCAGAUGUGAAAGCCCUGGGCUUAACCCAGGAAGUGCAUUUGAAACUGUUCAGCUGGAGUAAGGGAGAGGAAAGUGGAAGUCCUGGUGUAGAGGUGAAAUUCGUAGAUAUCAGGAGGAACACCGGUGGCGAAGGCGACUUUCUGGCCCUAUACUGACGCUGAGACGCGAGAGCGUGGGUAGCAAACA
rnacentral:rRNA from 1 species